GCGUGAUUAUUAUUAGUUCUUAAAGAAUUAAUAUAUUUAAGAAAAUCGCAGUAUUUAAUUUUAUUAAUCAAAGCAAUUUGGAAUUAGUAAUAUUUGAUAGCACCGGCUAAAAUCGUGCCAGCCGCCGCGGUUACACGGAGGGUGCAAGUGAAUGUUAUUAGUUUAUAGUUAUAUGUAAAUUACAGAGAUUAAAAAUAAAUUUGUUAGGUGAAAUUUUAAAUUUAAUUAAUCUCUUUAAAAAGUUAUAGAAGCUGUGAAAUUUAAAUUUUAAACUAGGAUUAGAUACCCUAUUAUUUUAAAUGUCAAAAAUAUAACUUGAGUAGUAAUAGUUAUGUUCUUGAAACUCAAAGAAUUUGGCGGUGUUUUAGUCCUUUCAGAGGAACCUGUCCCAUAAUCGAUAAUCCACGUAAAACCUUACUUAAUUUUGUUUUCAGCUUGUAUACCGCCGUCGUCAGAAUGUCCUUUGAAGGUUUUAAUUUUCUUAAAUUUCAAAUAGAAAUGAUGUCAGGUCAAGGUGCAGUUUAUAAUUAAGUGGAGAUGGGUUACAAUAAAUAUAUUUAUAAUGGAAAAUAUCUUGAAAUAGAUAUUGGAAGGUGGAUUUGAUAGUAAUUUAUUUAAUAGAGUAUAUUUGAUUUUGGCUCUAAAACAUGCACACAUCGCCCGUCGCUCUCGUUAUUUAAGGCGAGAUAAGUCGUAACAUAGUAGGUGUACCGGAAGGUGCACCUGGAAAGUU
rnacentral:ncRNA from 1 species